rnacentral:rRNA from 1 species
UACGUAGGAGGCGAGCGUUGUCCGGAGUUACUGGGCGUAAAGGGUGCGCAGGCGGCGGUUCGCGUGGCGAGAUGAAAUCUCCUGCUUACCUGGGAGGGUGGUCGCCAGACGGGAUCGCUUGAGGGUCGGAGAGGGGCGUGGAAUUCCGGGUGGAGCGGUGAAAUGCGUAGAGAUCCGGAGGAACACCGGUGGCGAAGGCGGAUCUCGGUGCCGAGUACUGACGCUGAGGAGCGAAAGCGUGGGGAGCGAACAGG